rnacentral:rRNA from 1 species
GAUAGCCAUUCCACCUUGAAAUCACUCAAUCUUGUCUGAUCUUGGAAGAUAAACAGGGUAUGACCUUAUUAAUACUUGGAUGAGAAACUGCCUGGGAAUAUCUGUGGUGCAAGCU